rnacentral:rRNA from 1 species
GGCCAGACUCCUACGGGAGGCAGCAGUGAGGAAUAUUGGUCAAUGGGCGAGAGCCUGAACCAGCCAAGUCGCGUGAAGGAUGACGGCCCUACGGGUUGUAAACUUCUUUUGUCAGGGAGCAAUUGAGUCCACGUGUGGGCUUAGCGAGAGUACCUGAAGAAAAAGCAUCAGCUAACUCCGUGCCAGCAGCCGCGGUAAUACGGAGGAUGCGAGCGUUAUCCGGAUUUAUUGGGUUUAAAGGGUGCGUAGGCGGAGUGUCAAGUCAGCGGUAAAAUUUCGGGGCUCAACCCCGUCAUGCCGUUGAAACUGACGCCCUUGAGUGAGUGAGAAGUAAGCGGAAUGCGUGGUGUAGCGGUGAAAUGCAUAGAUAUCACGCAGAACGCCGAUUGCGAAGGCGGCUUACCGGCGCUCAACUGACGCUGAGGCACGAAAGUGCGGGUAUCGAACAGGAUUAGAUACCCUAGUA